rnacentral:lncRNA from 1 species
CAAAAUAAUUCACCUCAAUGCUUGUUCAUCGCUACUGGGACUAGACGUCGACACUCGACUAGAAUAUUUUUGCAAGUUGAAAAUAGUAUUGACCGAAUUUUUUUCGCAAAUAUAAAUUUACUUGGAAAUUCUAAUUAAAAACAUCGAACGCUAUCAGUUGAUAAAAUAUUUACUGUUAGGAAAGGCGUAUCUAGGAUGCAUUUUUAAUACAUUUCAGGAAUUUUAUAUCAAGUUAUAACACAUUCAAAUCUUCAAGCGUCAAUUAUCACUUGAGAAGUGGGUUCGCCAAAUACUAUAAUUUGACUGUUUUCUAUCGACAAGAAGGGCUUCAACUGUGUAUUGAUUGGGCCUCCUAGUGUCCUUGUUGAUUUAAAUCGCACGUUUGCCAAUUAACUCGCCACAUUCUGAAUAAAAACGUAUUCUUUGCAACCCUGAGUGUUCAGAAAUCGGAAUGUGAUCAGGAUGUAAAAGCCUUGAAGUUGGGUUGGGGGACUUGCUUCAAAAUAAUUUUGCAUACAAAAGGCAAUUUCGACGUGGGAUUGUAUUAAUAGCUUGAAACAAUAAGAGGAUUAAUAUUCGAUAAUCCUAGGAUUUGAGGAAAUUAAUAAAAUGCCCUUUAGUGGCGAAGACAGGAAAAUAUAAGCUUAUUUUGCCUUAAAGUCGUCUUUGUUUAUAUUGGAAGAGUUUAAAAUCCUGUACCACCUUUAAGCUGCAGUCUGUUCCUAUCUAUGUUUUUGUAAUGCCAAAUGAUUUUGCUCUCCAAUUAGGGAAUGUUUUGGGCGGUACCAUCUGCCAAUGUCUUUGUUCUAAGAAAAGAGACAAUAGGUCAGGAAUUAGUUUGUUUUAUCUUCAACAACUCUUUAAACGACAUAUUAAGACCCUUUAUAUCUUUUGCCAUGAUAGUGCAGUUUGUAUCUUGUUUAUACCCAUUUAACCCAUUGAAAUUGUCUGGCAUUAGACAGAGUAAGAUAACAAACUAGAGCACAUUGGGGUGAAAAUCCACUUAUUAUAAAGGGUUAACAAGACACAUGAGCAGAUAGUCCGAUUAAACAUUGAGUGGUGCCACUCUCCUUGACAAGUAAAAUCGUCUGGCAUUAGACAGAGUAAAAUAACAAAGUAUGGUGCAUUGGGGCAUAAUACCACUUGAGGAUUAAGGCUGUAUGGUUUGUUCCAGAAAAGAUCAACCAUGCCCCAAGGAGGAAAUUUCUGCUGUCUGGAGGUGAAGGGGAGAAAAAUUAGUUUCUGAUUAUAAUAGUAAGUGUGUUAGGACAUCCUAAGGGGUAGGGAGGAUACUUCCAAUUUCCUUCGUGGGAGAGGUAUGGAUGUUUUCUGAAAUGAUCCAAUGUGCCCAAAUACAUUAUAUUUAUAUUUCACUCUGUCUAAUCCAGACAAUUUUACUUGUCAAGGGGAGAGCCAUUUACAUAAAACAACAUUGUUAACGAGAUAUUAACCUUUUGAGUCGCAUUGUGUCCUGAUGCGCCCUACUUUAUUAUUUUAUUCUGUCUAAUGCCAGACAAUUUUACUCAUCGAGGGAAGAGCACUGGUGCUAAUGGGCUAACUGGCCUAUCUUCCCAUGUG